rnacentral:pre_miRNA from 1 species
UAUGCCCCGCGUCAAGGAUCAACUUCGAUGAUGAUAAGUUGGCCCAUGACUGGAGGUAUAGC